CUUAAAGAGUGUAUAGGAGUUCAGUGAAGGAUAAGUGGAUGAGGAUGAGGGUAUUUCAGGUAGAGGAAAAAGACAUAAAACAGCUCAGCAUGGUCGAGGAACUGCAGGUGAUUCUGCAUGUGUGCAUCCCCUCAGUAACUCAACAGCCCAUGUAAAUUGGGAGGCAGGAGCACUGUCCCACUGAGUUUCAAACAAAAGCCAUUCCAAACUGCCAGAUAAAAUUCCAGUUUAAAUUAGUGAAAUUUGUUGUGAGACAGCCUGUGCACUGCAGAUGCCUGUGGUCCUAGAAGAUAAAGUCUAUUUCCUUUUGAAGGACAUACAUGUAGAUCAACAUGGAAGGAGUAGCCCUUGACCAUCAGUGUAUGACUCCAUUGCAUAGUGCUUGCUGCAGAAUUGCCUUGCCUGUCAGAUGACACAGCCAGUGCUGAGAUAGUGGCUGGCUGUGUGGAGUGGGCACAGCGCUUGCUCUCAUGAGCCGGUCCCUGGAUCUACAUCAAGAUGGUGCCUGGAUCUGUGGAUGGACUCUGGUCCUACCUUGGCCCCUGCUGCACUGAAGCUCCUGGCAUUUCCAGGGAGCCUUGCCCCUGUGUGUUAUUGGCCUGUUUUUCUGAUGUCUGCAGCCUGACAAACAUGUCACCUGGUCUUUCUCAGCUGGGUGGCUCCUCUUUGUUGAUUCAAUGCCUCCUGGUCUUGCACCCACUCCCCGACUCAGAUACUCUGCUUGGGCUCUUCCAGGAGAUCAGUGUGCUCUGCCAGGUCCCAGGGCAGACCUGCUGGCUCUCAGCUUGGCACUGAGGAAUGCUCUGGAGUAAACACUAGCCCUCCCCACCUGCUACAUGCUCAGCCCUCUCCCCUCUGCCGUGUUGCCUCAUGUCUCAGUCAUUUCUGAUUCCUCGUUACCUAGCAGAAUGUCUGGCACUUUUGCUCAGUAAGAUGCUUUUGAAAUUGAACUGGAUUGUGAAUUCCUUUCAGUGAGUGGUCCAUGCUUUAUUUGGCAAAUAGAUGCCAAUGACUACUAUUUUCUCGAAAUUUUAUAAAGUUAAUUAUUGAUACACCCAAAGCAGAGGGAUCUUCUGAUCCCCAAAGCCUGGCUUUCAGUGUUGUUUUAACCCUUCUAAAAUCUCAAGUUUCUCUAAUAAAAACCACGAUAGUCUGAAAUGCUGGAAUUUGGAAUUUAUGCCUUCCUAGAGUGCUGAUACCGAAAUUUUAAGGAAUGUAGGGAAAAAAAGGAAAUAAAAAGUCCCCCAG
rnacentral:lncRNA from 1 species